CCAUCCCAGGGAAAUGUACUUGGACAGUACACUGAGUUAAUGUCAAUUAUUUCAGCUCUUAGCCUACUGGCAGCCACUCACCCCCACCCCUCACCCUCACCCCUCAACCCAUGUCAGGCAGCUUGCGUGUGUUCUCCUGGAGCACCUUUUACACAGCUAGUGACAGUCCAGCCACCAGGGCCUUGUGAAGAUGCCCCAUCUGACACACCAUCCCAGAAGCUCAGUCUUCUCCAAACAACUAAAUUGAGCAGCACAUUCAGCUCACCAGAAUUACCAAGUUAAGCUUUCAACAAAUACUUAUCUACUAAAGUCAGAAAGACAUACAAGACUAUCUGUGUCCAUUAAUUGCUCCAUUCCUCUGCAAAGUUUAAGGAAAUAUGGGAGGGCACUGUGUUACAUAGCAUGAUGCAAGGGCUCAAGAUUCCAAAUUCGAUAUCACUCUUCUUGUUCUUGGGGAGACAAUGUACCCGUUAAUGGAUUCUUCAAAUAAAAUUGGAAAUAACACCAGAAAAUAUAGGCCCUGUCUAAAAAUGGGUUAAACAUUUCAGCAUCCUUUCUGAAGCAUCUACUGUGAAAGACACUAUCCCAGUGACUGGCAGGGGUUUUCAAAAGGAGGUAGACAUCAAACCUGUCUUCAAGCAGCUUAUAGAACAUACUUGAAAAUGAGACAAAUACCUAAGCAGCUAUCAGAAGGGAGAAAAAUCAACGGCCCCGGGAAUUCAGAAGAAAGAGCCUGCCUGUGGAAAGAGUCUGAGGUCAGUCGUGGACUGCAUUGUUCGACUCACCACCUACGCCCUUUGGGAGUGUGGCCACGAUUUUGAGAAGAUAUGAAACUCUUCUGAUUUUGAAGAAAACCAUGUCCCAAAAGUUUAAACCGAGACUCCCUCGUAACAUUCCACCAGCGUAUGGUAUGAUCUGAUAUAUUGUAGCUUACUUUGUAAAAAUUUAAUAUACUGAUGUUUUAAGAUUCAACC